CCCAUACCACCCUGAACACACCCGAUCUUGUCAGCUAAGCAGGGUCGGGCCUGGUUCGUACUUGGAUGGGAAAAGACAAACCCCGAAAAACUAAUUCUGGUUGGGU
rnacentral:rRNA from 1 species